UUCCGUAGGUGAACCUGCGGAAGGAUCAUUAAUGAAUUAAAGUCGGUCUUCUGUGCUGGUGGUGACACAUGUGCACGUUGAUCGCAAAUCCACACACCUGUGCACCUUUGACUUUAGGAUCCGCUUGUUGGCUUGUCUGACUUGCAGCUGAUGUUGGUUUUGUGCUCAUCUGGAUCUUAGAGUAAUUUUACACACUCUGAAUGUAAUGGAAUGUUCCUGUGCAUAAUGCGCAAAAUACAACUUUCAACAACGGAUCUCUUGGCUCUCGCAUCGAUGAAGAACGCAGCGAAAUGUGAUAAGUAAUGUGAAUUGCAGAAUUCAGUGAAUCAUCGAAUCUUUGAACGCACCUUGCACCCUUUGGUAUUCCAAAGGGUACACCCGUUUGAGUGUCAUUGUAAUCUCACUUCAUCAGCUUUUGUUGAUGGAGGUGGACUUGGACUCUGUUGUGUCAUUACAACUGGUCUGAAAUGUGUGAGUGCACCCUGCUGUUGCAGCGUCCUCAGUGUGAUAAGCAUCUUCACUGAAUCAAGUUCCUUUGGGACACGUGUGUAAUGUGGGCUCUGUGCUGGCAAACUGUCUUUGGACAAUCUUGACAAUUUGACCUCAGAUCGAGUGGGACUACCCGCUGAACUUAAGCAUAUCAAUAAGCGGAGGAAAAGAAACUAACAAGGAUUCCCCUAGUAACGGCGAGUGAAGAGGGAAAAGCUCAAAUUUUGAAUCUGGUGCCUUUGGCAUCCGAGUUGUAAUCUAGAGAAGUGUUUUCUGCCUUGGACCACACAUAAAUUCCCUGGAAUGGGGUGUCAUAGAGGGUGAGAAUCCCGUUUGUGGUGUGGACUACCUUGGCUCUGUGAUACACUCUCAACGAGUCGAGUUGUUUGGGAAUGCAGCUCAAAAUGGGUGGUAAAUUCCAUCUAAAGCUAAAUAUUGGCGAGAGACCGAUAGCGAACAAGUACCGUGAGGGAAAGAUGAAAAGCACUUUGGAAAGAGAGUGAAACAGUACGUGAAAUUGUUGAAAGGGAAGCGUUUGAAGUCAGUCACAUUGGUCAGAAUUCAGCCUGGCUUAUGCCUGGUGUACUUUCUGGCAAAUGGGUCAGCGUCAAUUUUGACCGAGGGAGAAAGACUUGAGGAAGGUGGCUGUCUUUGGGCAGUGUUAUAGCCUCUUGUUGUAAUGCUCGGUUGGGAUUGAGGAUCGCAGCACGCCUUAUGGCCGGGGUUCGCGCCCUCGGUACGUGCUUAGGACGCUGGCAUAAUGGCUUUAAGCGACCCGU
rnacentral:rRNA from 1 species